UACGGAGGGAGCUAGCGUUGUUCGGAAUUACUGGGCGUAAAGCGCGCGUAGGCGGCUUUGUAAGUUAGAGGUGAAAGCCCGGGGCUCAACCCCGGAACUGCCUUUAAGACUGCAUCGCUUGAAUCCGGGAGAGGUGAGUGGAAUUCCGAGUGUAGAGGUGAAAUUCGUAGAUAUUCGGAAGAACACCAGUGGCGAAGGCGACUCACUGGACACGUAUUGACGCUGAGGUGCGAAAGCGUGGGGAGCAAACAGG
rnacentral:rRNA from 1 species